GAUGAACGCUGGCGGCGUGCCUAAUACAUGCAAGUCGAGCGAACAGACGAGGAGCUUGCUCCUCUGACGUUAGCGGCGGACAGGUGAGUAACACGUGGAUAACCUACCUAUAAGACUGGGAUAACUUCGGGAAACCGGAGCUAAUACCGGAUAAUAUAUUGAACCGCAUGGUUCAAUAGUGAAAGACGGUUUUGCUGUCACUUAUAGAUGGAUCCGCGCCGCAUUAGCUAGUUGGUAAGGUAACGGCUUACCAAGGCAACGAUGCGUAGCCGACCUGAGAGGGUGAUCGGCCACACUGGAACUGAGACACGGUCCAGACUCCUACGGGAGGCAGCAGUAGGGAAUCUUCCGCAAUGGGCGAAAGCCUGACGGAGCAACGCCGCGUGAGUGAUGAAGGUCUUCGGAUCGUAAAACUCUGUUAUUAGGGAAGAACAAAUGUGUAAGUAACUAUGCACGUCUUGACGGUACCCAAUCAGAAAGCCACGGCUAACUACGUG
rnacentral:rRNA from 1 species